ensembl:lncRNA
UGGGCCGAUGAGCAAAGGGGGUUUACUAAUCUUUUUCCUGUUUCCUAAGUGCAAAAACACAUUCUGAUGGGGCUGACAGGUUCUCCGCAGCUCUGGUUUCUCAGUGCACAGACUGAUGUGUCCCCCUAAUGAGAAGUUUUCUGGACUGCGGUGCUCCAGCCCUCCAGACUCCACCUGAGCUCCAUAAAUCAAAGAGGCAGAGACGCUGGGGGUCAGUGCGAGAGCCCUCAAGAGGAGUCGUCUCUUCACUUCGUUCACUCAGUGCUUGUCCUGGUUCAGUGAGUUGGGCCUUGCGAACCGGAUCACACUUUUUUUUUAUAUCUGUGCUAUGUCAUGUCCACUUGUUCUACUACUAAGUUCUCAAAGCUCUUAAAUGCCAUUUCCAAAAGGGGCAGCAUUAAAAACAGUGAGCGUCAGGCCAUGUACACCCCUCCUGAGCUACAGGUUUCCUGUCUCGCUAGUCUUGCUAGGACUUGCCCCAUAUAUUCUGCUGUAUUGAGUAAUAAAAAAGCAUAAUAGCAUUCAUAUAUUCUGUUUAACCGCACAGUGUGCGUUUGUCUGAAUGUGACAAAGGGUGAGAGAAAGACUGGAUAUGAAGGGAAUUUGGAGCGGCCCCCUUGAAGGCAUAUGUAAACAUUUACGCUUUGUCUCAAGCCGCUGGUGUGAUUACAGAGGCUGUACUGUACAGAGGCAGUCAAAUGGAAAAUGCAGAGCACAUGAGUAUGAGUGGCCUUCUUGCUGGAGAGCAUUUCGUGACCACUCUGCUUCAUGGUAUUAGCUGGGCGCUGCCUCACGAAACUGAUGUGUUGCAUCUGAUAUAGAGGCUUGUUUGGAGAUCCAGUCAACAUCCGUCCACACUCUGUUCAAGUAUGUUUAUGGGUUUGCUUAUCUCCAGAUUGAAUAGAUGCCGUAGUACCGGGAGGGGAUCAACUUGGCGGCGUAGAAUGACGCAAUGGAAACGCAACCAGAAGAGGUAAAUAAUUAGGUUUGCAAGCAGCUUAGAAAUUUGGAACACCAGCCAUGUGAAAUCAAACCCUCUUGUUUUGACGCGUCAUGCGUUUUUACUGGUUGUGAUUGUUACGAGGAACUGGAGAAAUCAGUCGUGCCUGUUAUUACUCCAAACGUAGAACCUGCCAGUUUGUGGGAUGCUAAUAUCACUCAAAGGUUGUGCUAGCUUUAGCACAGUGCAGUGUACAUACAGUAGAUCUUAGGGGGGUGUUCAAAAUGCAAUGUGAAAGCAACGGACAGCAGUCAUUUUCAGUAAGAGCCGGCGGUUUCCAAGACACAAGUAACAGAGAUUGUUGCUGAUGUGACGGCUUUAUACAAAUAAGCAAUGCAGGGACUACCAAUGGGAAUGCCUACAGUGAUCUUCCACCCGAUACAGAUUUUUAUCGCUGCCUGUAGGAGUGGGGUUUUAUGCUCAUGUAUUUGCUUUCUAUUCUAGGGCCCCAUCACGAGGUUUGGACUGAAAAUGAAACAAGACUAGCACCCAGCCUCAUGGAAGACGAUUUUCUCAUGAAAAACCAAAGCUUGGGCAUCAAGAGGUUUCAUCACGGCCACAGGAAUGAUAGUAGCAAAACAUAGCUGGAUAUGCAGUUAGCCAUGUUCUACAUUGUCUUCCCCCACAAACCAGGCCACAUUAAAUUUGGCGCUCAUUUGCCUCAGCUGCUCACUAGGAGAUCACAGGUCAAAUAAAGUGAUUAAAGAGAAAUCUUGCUGUUCAUAAUACAGAUGUCGAGUUUUUAGAAAUGAAUCAUUUGCAUUUAUGUUGUUUUCAUACUGUAAAAAUAUUAACUUAUAAUUAAACUAAUAAUAAAUGGGUUGUUGCGUGUUAGUUGCAUUACAUUGGCUUUUAUUUAACCAGUAAAAUGUUUUAUUUUAUUUAUGCAUUUAACAGAUGCUUUGACUUACAUUGCAUUCCAGCUAACAAUUUUCUCCUAACAUGUGUUCCGUGGGAUUCAAACCCCCAACCUUGUGCUUGCUAACACAGCGCUCUACCACUUGAGCUACAGGAACAAUACAAAUUUUUACAAAUAAUUUUUACAAAAAUUUUACAAAUAUCUAGAUGUUUUGAUGAUUUAAGCCCCAUUAAAAAUAUCUAAAUAUUUUUUUUUAUGCUUUUGUGUUUUUUUUUUUUUUCUAGGGAAUGAAGACCCAGAAAGUGUUUUAAACCAAGGAACAGAUCCAGGACUUCAGCCAAUCAGAGUGGGGAUUGGGUUCCUCUACAACCUAUCCCAGGCCACACCUUCUACUUGUUAAAAACUUCCUUUGGCUGCAGAACAUAGUGGCUGAUAUUCUUCUGUUUUUAACAGCUGUGAAG